AUAAUAAGACGUUGCAUUUAUGCUUUACAGGGUGGUCAGCAUCAGCGAGAGAGAAGAUUUGUGUUUUGCUGGGGCUUUCCUCUGCAUCUUCAUGGACUUGAUGAUACAGAUUGGAGGCAGACAGCUGAGAUGGACCUUUCUGGCCUGAACACAAAGGACUACAUCAGACUACUCUUAACUAAGAGUGGAAUGGGCAUAACUGGGGAAAGCAGUGGAAAAACCAGGAGGGAAACCAAGGGAUUAUGGAUUUUAGGAGAUCAUGAAGGCAAGAAUUGGCACUGAUUGGAAGCCCUCAAGAAACUUUUAAUUUAGAAGACAGAAUAAAGAGAAGAAUUAAGAAAGACUGCAUGGACAAGACAUGUUUGGACCAGAGAUACAGGGGUACAAGCUGGAAAAGGGGAGAAAUGAAUCAGGCUACAGGCCAAGUGUCCAUCACUGAUUCCCAGAGAUGCCCGUUGUGUGGUGGGCACUUCCAUGUGGACUCUCUACAGGGGCACGUGCAUGGGUCCAAGAUAGGCAUCCCUCAGCUCAUGGCCUGUAUUCCAGCUUGUAGACUUUUGCUGAGGACGUCCCCUCACCAGUAACCAGCUCUGGUCCCAAGCUCCUGGCCGCAUUCUUCAGUGUCCACAAACCCACAGAGGCUCCUCAUCCUCAACUGUGGGAUUGCACCUUUUCCUGCUGGUUCCUCCUCUUUGCCCUGGCAUGUCUCCAAAUGUUGUCCUCCCUCUGCUCAAAUAGGCAUGGAGCAGGGGCAGAUCAGAAAGUCCGAUGUCCGACCAUCUUCCAACCAAACAAAAUGCUAGACUAUCAUCAUUGCACG
rnacentral:lncRNA from 1 species